AAAUCAUCCUCUCCAGAAAGGAGAAUAGAGUCGCUGACCAAAGAACCUGCUGCCCGGAAGGCACAACUUCCAUCCCCCGCCAAAGAAAAGUUGCAAGAAGAGCUCAGCGCCCAGGCAGCCCGCGCGGGUGCGGAUACCGAGAGCAGCAGAGAAGCUCAUCAGGCCCGGGCGGCGCGCGAGCCGGGGCUGCGGCGUCCGUGGGGCCGACUCCGGCUCCGGCAGGCUGCGGGUCUGGGGGUGCGACCGCGAGCAGUGGGCGGAGAAACGAGAGCAGAGGAAAAGAGGGACAAUGCUGGGCCGGGCGGGCGACUCCGCGCGCUCCAAGGGUCCGCAGCGCCUCUUCCCGCCCGGGGCCGCCAGCUGCCGCGCCAAGUUUGCUCCUCAGCCCUCCCUUCACGGCCCGGGCGGCGAAGCCGUGGCUGCCGGCCUCCCUCCGCCUGGCCGCCGCCGCCUUCCUCCCCGCGGGGCGGCUCCCGCGAGUCGGCGAGCCGGCGGCGCGCGCGAGGAGAGCCGCGCGCGCGAAGGGGAGCCGGGCGCGCGAGGGAAACGGGGCGCGAGAGGGAAGGCGGGCGCGCGAGGGGCAGGGGGCGCGCGAGGGGAGGCGGGCGCGCCAGGGGCAGGGGGCGCGCGAGGAAGCGGCGCGCGCGACGGGAGCCGGGCGCGCGGGGGAGCCAGGCGCGCGGCGCUCCCCGAGGACCCGCUGCCGCUCCGGCGGGUUUUCGGUUGAGGCGGGGGCUGCGCCGCCGUUUACCGUCCGUUAUGAGUCUUUGCCCGGGCGCCGCAGCCUGCCAGCCAUCCUGGCCCGCCUCCCCCUCGGCUCUCAUCAGGAAGGGCAGCCGGGCGAGGGCCGGCGACCUCGUCUCCUGCCAGGGCUGCGGCCGCCGGGCGGUGGGCAUCCCGGCGCCUGCCCCUGGGGCUGGAAGAGAAAGUGAAAUGAAGCGUCUUUCCCCAGGCGACACCUACCCGUCCCCAGUCCAAGUGCAGCUGCCUCGCUCCUCGGGCGCCGCCGGUCCCCGCCCUCGGGCCCCGGGCUCCGUUCUCUUGACAAUGGCGCGUCCCCUUUAA
rnacentral:lncRNA from 1 species